rnacentral:rRNA from 1 species
UACGGAGGGUGCAAGCGUUAUCCGGAUUUACUGGGUUUAAAGGGUGCGUAGGUGGACAGGAAAGUCAGUGGUGAAAUCUUCGAGCUUAACUCGGAAACUGCCAUUGAUACUAUUUGUCUUGAAUACUUUGGAGGUAAGCGGAAUAUGUCAUGUAGCGGUGACUUUCUUAGAUAUGACAUAGAACACCAAUUGCGAAGGCAGCUUACUACUCUCUUAUUGACACUGAGGCACGAAAGCGUGGGGAUCAAACAGG